CUACGUGCCAGCAGCCGCGGUAAUACGUAGGGGGCAAGCGUUAUCCGGAAUAACUGGGCGUAAAGGGUGCGCAGGUGGUUUAACAAGUUAGUGGUGAAAGGCAUAGGCUCAACCAAUGUAAGCCAUUAAAACUGUUUAACUUGAGUGCAGGAGAGGAAAGUGGGAUUCCUAGUGUAGCGGUGAAAUGCGUAGAUAUUAGGAGGAAUACCAGUGGCGAAGGCGACUUUCUGGACUGCAACUGACACUGAGGCACGAAAGCGUGGGGAGCAAACAGGAUUAGAUACCCUGGUAGUCCACGCCGUAAACGAUGAGUACUAGGUGUCGGGUGAAGAACUCGGUGCCGAAGUUAACACAUUAAGUACUCCGCCUGGGGAGUACGCUCGCAAGAGUAAAACUCAAAGGAAUUGACGGGGACCCGCACAAGCAGCGGAGCAUGUGGUUUAAUUCGAAGCAACGCGAAGAACCUUACCUAAACUUGACAUACCAAUGACAGCCUU
rnacentral:rRNA from 1 species